AUUGAACGCUGGCGGCAGGCCUAACACAUGCAAGUCGAACGAACUCUUCGGAGUUAGUGGCGGACGGGUGAGUAACACGUGGGAACGUGCCUUUAGGUUCGGAAUAACUCAGGGAAACUUGUGCUAAUACCGAAUGUGCCCUUCGGGGGAAAGAUUUAUCGCCUUUAGAGCGGCCCGCGUCUGAUUAGCUAGUUGGUGAGGUAAAGGCUAACCAAGGCGACGAUCAGUAGCUGGUCUGAGAGGAUGAUCAGCCACAUUGGGACUGAGACACGGCCCAAACUCCUACGGGAGGCAGCAGUGGGGAAUCUUGCGCAAUGGGCGAAAGCCUGACGCAGCCAUGCCGCGUGAAUGAUGAAGGUCUUAGGAUUGUAAAAUUCUUUCACCGGGGACGAUAAUGACGGUACCCGGAGAAGAAGCCCCGGCUAACUUCGUGCCAGCCGCCGCAGUAA
rnacentral:rRNA from 1 species